rnacentral:lncRNA from 1 species
AGAAGUGAAGCAAAAGUGUUAGAUGUCAAGUUGGAAGAAGAACGUAGGAAAAACGAAGAAAUGCUGAACUGGGAACGCAGUCCAAACACAUCGCCAGCUUCGGGACAAAGUAUUGCGCCAGAUGAAGGAGCAUAGUGCCCAGAGGGAAGUAGAAAGAGACCGUGCAACACUUCUUGAAGCAAGGACUGCUCUCGUUAUCCAAGCAGAACAGGACAGAGCUGUUGUGGCAGAGGCAAACCGUUCCCUAAGAGAAGCUCUUCGGUCUAUUAUCCCAAAUGUAACUCCUGUACCAACUCCACGGCAAACACCAGUUCCAAGUGAGCGAACAAAGUUUACAAACCUGCAGUCUGGGUCAUUUUCACCUCAUCACUGCGAACUUGCGGAGCAGUCUUCAACUAGGGUUGCUGUCUGCAUGGAGAAGGAGCCAGUUCCAACACUCCAGCAUCCCAACCACUACGACACAACCAAGAAAUAGAGAGGUGGAUUCGCUAGAUUGAGAACCUGUCAAAUCCACCCACUGAUGACACUUUUAUAAGAAAUGACAGGGUAUCUUGUAGAGGACCUAUUUUUGACUGUAUCACAUGGGAAGAUUUCAAGGCAAAACUACAGCAGAAAUUUCGGGGAACAUGCUCUGCAAGUGUUUACUUUAGUCUCCUCCAUGACCGACGUCUAGUUAGUGGUCAAGCUUCUCUGGAUUUUUACAUCACUCUAGAGGGUGCAGUUUAUCGGGGCGUCCGAGAUUACCCUGAAGCAAUUGGAGAGCCAGACGAACUAAUCAGGCGGCUAUUUUUGCAAGGUCUUCCAGGCUGCCUGAGGGAGAUGUGUGCCAUGUCAGAAGAUGCUCCACUGAAGCAACUAGUAGAUGCAACCCAGCGGGUUUGGAAUGCAAGGAUGGACGUCCGUGCAGAGGAAGAAGGACCAGUAAGAUCUGGAAUCGAAGAGGAGGGAUCAGAUGGCUAUUCCAGACCUUUUGGGCCGUUUCCACGCCGACCAUCUCGCCGCAUGGAUCAGUUCAUGAGGCCAGUUUCUCGUACAUGUGGGGCGUGCCAUCGGGAAGGACAUUCCCGGAGAGAAUAGAGGUCUAAGGGGAGUUGCAGGGAAAGGUUAUUGUUGUUGAUGCUGUAUCAUUUCCAGGUGACCUUGUUGGUGUGGAUUUGCUUUGCAGAGUACACUAUAAGAUCUUACAUGAUGCUGAUGCUCAGGAUGCUUAUCUUCAUCUUGAUAAUGUAGUUUAUCGUUUGCAGCAUGAAAAAGGUGAAUCUUUCGGACUUGUAUCAUUUUGCAACCAACAGUAAAACCUCCUGUUGUUCGUUUGGCUCCAUAUUGCAAGACGGUUUGUCCACCCCACACUGAAAGAGCAGCAGCUGUUGAUUAGGACAAUCACAAGGUGCCAGAUUUUGAAUGGGAAGAGGACGAGUUUGACCGGGAGCAUGGUCUUCAGCUGGCUGAUGAUUCUCAGGAUGCCGUUUGGGCUUUCUACAGCACCAACAACAUUCCAGUGCACCAUGAAUAUAGUACUUUCCCCAGUUUUUAGGUAAGCACACUUUUGCUCAUCUGGAUGAUGUAGUUUAUAGCCCAGACUUCAAAUCUCAUCUUGUACAGCUUGAGGAAACACUAAAAAUUCUUAAUAAUGCUGGUUUUAAGUUCAAUAUGGCUAAGUGCGAGUUUGCAGUGCAGGAAUUUCGAUUCCUUGGAUUUAAAGUAACCACUGAAGGUAUUUU